rnacentral:rRNA from 1 species
GAUGAACGCUAGCUACAGGCUUAACACAUGCAAGUCGAGGGGAAACGACAUCGAAAGCUUGCUUUUGAUGGGCGUCGACCGGCGCACGGGUGAGUAACGCGUAUCCAACCUGCCCAUCACUUGGGAAUAACCUUGCGAAAGUAAGACUAAUACCCAAUGACAUCCCACGAAGACAUCUGAAUGGGAUUAAAGAUUUAUCGGUGAUGGAUGGGGAUGCGUCUGAUUAGCUUGUUGGCGGGGUAACGGCCCACCAAGGCAACGAUCAGUAGGGGUUCUGAGAGGAAGGUCCCCCACAUUGGAACUGAGACACGGUCCAAACUCCUACGGGAGGCAGCAGUGAGUAAUAUUGGUCAAUGGGCGAGAGCCUGAACCAGCCAAGUAGCGUGCAGGAUGACGGCCCUAUGGGUUGUAAACUGCUUUUAUAAGGGAAUAAAGUGGGUCUCGUGAGACUUUUUGCAUGUACCUUAUGAAUAAGGACCGGCUAAUUCCGUG